rnacentral:rRNA from 1 species
AUGGCAGCGGAAAUCGUGAGCGCGGCGACGGGGGUGAUGAACCCCCUCAUCGGCAAGCUCACCACGCUGAUGGGAGAUGAGUACAAGAAGCUCAAAGGAGUGAGGAAGGAGGUGGCUUUUCUCAAGGACGAGCUCAGCGCCAUGAACGCUUCCCUUGAGAAGCUGGAGUUUAUGGAAAAGCUCGAGCCAAAUACCAAGAACUGGAGGGAUCAUGUCAGGGAGAUGGCCUACGACAUGGAGAAUUGCAUCGAUGACUUCAUGCAGGAUAUUGGAGGUGCCAACGCCAACGCCAGUGCAGGUUUCGUGAAAAGGAUGUCUCGGCGCCUGAAGACGCUAAGGGUGCGUCACCGGAUUGCCGGCCAGAUCGAGGAGCUUAAGGCUCGUGCAGUAGAGGCGAAUGAAAGGCGAAUAAGGUACAAGAUUGACGAUUGCAAUACUAGUUGUGGCUCUGUGGAUAUUGAUCCACGGAUUUCAGUGAUCUACAAAGACGCUGCUGCACUUGUGGGUACUGAUGGACCAAAGAUGGAGGUUGUCAGUUUGUUAACAGUCACCGAGAAGAAGCUCAAGGUGGUGUCCAUCGUGGGAUUCGGGGGACUGGGGAAAACUACCCUUUCUAAUCAGGUGUAUAAUGAUCUCGAUGGGCAAUUUGACUGUAAGGCAUUUAUUCCCGUCUCUCAAAAACCAGACAUGCCACGUCUUCUCAAUAGCCUAAGAUUAAAGCUUGGGAUAAAUGAUUCCUCUGGUAUUUGUGAGGUCCAAGGCAUCAUCGAUCAACUUAGAGAACACCUUGCAAACAAGAGGUAUUUUAUUAUAGUCGAUGACUUGUGGGAUGAAGAAGCAUGGGACAUUAUAAGAUGUGCCUUUCCAGAAAAUGGUAAUGGGAGUAGAGUAAUAGUAACCACACGAGUGGAAGCCGUUGCAAUCUCAGCAUGUUCUUAUCACUAUGAGCACAUCUACAAAAUGAAGCCCCUCGCUGAAGAUUCAAGAAAGUUAUUCACGGGCAGAGUAUUUGGGUCUGAGAACAAAUGUCCAUCUAAUUUUGAGGAAGUUUCAAAUGAAAUUCUAAAGAAGUGUGGCGGAUUGCCACUUGCAAUCAUUACUAUAGCUAGCCUAUUGGCUUCCCGUCGAGAGAGAUCAAGGAAUGAUUGGGAGAACAUACAGAAUUCUCUAGGUGCCCAGUUUGCCAUAAACCCCACUCUGAAAGGGAUGAGGAAUAUAUUAAACCUCAGCUAUAUGAAUCUUCCUCUUCAUCUCCGCACUUGUUUUCUUUACCUUGGUAUGUAUCCAGAGGACUAUGAGAUUAUGAGGGAUGAUCUAGUACGAAAAUGGAUAGCCGAAGGCUUUGUCAGUAAUUCACAUGGAAAAAAUUUGGAGGAUGUUGGGAUAAGUUAUUUCAACGAGCUAGUCAAUAGAAGCCUGAUUCAGCCUGCAAUUGACAGAUUAGGGCGGGUGUGUUACAAAGUACACGAUAUGAUGCUGGAUUUGAUAUUAAGCAAGUGUGCAGAACAAAUAUUUAGGAACGGAGGGAGUACUUCUGAAGAGAUGACAAGACCGACUAACUGCACAUACAUGAUCCGUCGAUUAUCGCUGAUCUCAGCUAUUGAUAGAACAAGUGAGACAUUAUCAUGGACAGUUUCGGAUAGCACAUCACAACUUCGGUCAUUGGUGUGGUUUGGAGAUUGCCGGUCCAUAUCUCGUCUCAUUCAGUUGAAGUAUAUCCGUGUGUUAUCCUUUGAAAAUUCAUAUUUACCUUGGGGUUCACAUCUGGACCUCACUGCUAUCAGCCAAUUAUUUCAACUGAGGUAUUUGAAGGUUUCAGAUGAUUGCUAUGCAAAGCUUCCCACUGAAAUUCAGGGGCUUGUGCAUUUGGAUACGUUGGAUGUAGGAUAUGGAAGCAUCCCGUCAGACAUAGAGCACUAG